rnacentral:rRNA from 1 species
UCGGGAAUUUUGGACAAUGGGUGAGAGCCUGAUCCAGCCAUGCCGCGUGCAGGAAGAAGGCGUUAUGCGUUGUAAACUGCUUUUGCCAGGGGAUAAAAAGACCGUGCGCGGUUAAUUGAAGGUACCUGGUGAAUAAGCCACGGCUAACUACGUGCCAGCAGCCGCGGUAAUACGUAGGUGGCAAGCGUUGUCCGGAUUUAUUGGGUUUAAAGGGUGCGUAGGUGGCCCUGUAAGUCAGUGGUGAAAUAUCUCAGCUUAACUGAGAGGGUGCCAUUGAUACUGCAGGGCUUGAGUACAGAUGAGGUAGGCGGAAUUGACGGUGUAGCGGUGAAAUGCAUAGAUAUCGUCAAGAACACCGAUAGCGAAGGCAGCUUACCAAGCUGUAACUGACACUGAGGCACGAAAGUGUGGGGAUCAAACAGGAUUAGAUACCCCUGUAGUCCCUGAGCGGGCUGGCAAGGCGCAU